GACGAACGCUGGCGGCGUGCCUAAUACAUGCAAGUAGAACGCUGAAGGAGGAGCUUGCUUCUCCGGAUGAGUUGCGAACGGGUGAGUAACGCGUAGGUAACCUGCCUGGUAGCGGGGGAUAACUAUUGGAAACGAUAGCUAAUACCGCAUAACAGUAGAUAUCGCAUGAUAUCUGCUUGAAAGGUGCAAUUGCAUCACUACCAGACGGACCUGCGUUGUAUUAGCUAGUUGGUGUGGUAAAGGCUCACCAAGGCGACGAUACAUAGCCGACCUGAGAGGGUGAUCAGCCACACUGGGAGUGAGACACGGCCCAGACUCCUACGGGAGGCAGCAGUAGGGAAUCUUCAGCAAUGGACGGAAGUCUUACCGAGCAACGCAGCGUGAGGGAAGAAGGUUUUCGGAUCGUAAAGCUCUGUUGUAAGAGAAGAACGAGUGUGAGAGUGGAAAGUUCACACUGUGACGGUAUCUUACCAGAAAGGGACGGCUAACUACGUG
rnacentral:rRNA from 1 species